rnacentral:rRNA from 1 species
CCGACCUGCACGAAUGGCGUAACGACUUCCCCGCUGUCUCAAAUGUGGACUCAGCGAAAUUGAAUUGUCUGUGAAGAUGCAGACUUCCCGCGGUUAGACGGAAAGACCCCAUGCACCUUUACUAUAGCUUCGCACUGGCAUCAGGAUUGUGAUGUGCAGGAUAGGUGGUAGGCAUUGAAACCGGGACGCCAGUUCCGGUGGAGCCAUCCUUGAGAUACCACCCUUCGCACUCUUGAUGUCUAACCGCGGCCCGUUAUCCGGGUCCGGGACCCUGCGUGGUGGGUAGUUUGACUGGGGCGGUCGCCUCCCAAAGAGUAACGGAGGCGCGCGAAGGUUGGCUCAGAGCGGUCGGAAAUCGCUCGUUGAGUGCAAUGGCAGAAGCCAGCCUGACUGCAAGACUGACAAGUCGAGCAGAGACGAAAGUCGGCCAUAGUGAUCCGGUGGUCCCGAGUGGAAGGGCCAUCGCUCAACGGAUAAAAG